UACGGAGGGUGCAAGCGUUAUCCGGAUUUACUGGGUUUAAAGGGUGCGUAGGUGGGUCUGUAAGUCAGUGGUGAAAUCUCCGAGCUUAACUCGGAAACUGCCAUUGAUACUAUAGGUCUUGAAUUAUCUGGAGGUGAGCGGAAUAUGUCAUGUAGCGGUGAAAUGCUUAGAUAUGACAUAGAACACCUAUUGCGAAGGCAGCUUUCUACGCAUAUAUUGACGCUGAGGCACGAAAGCGUGGGGAUCAAACAGG
rnacentral:rRNA from 1 species